AGUCCCUGCCGGGGCUGGGGGCUGCGAGGUGGCUGCUCUGGCUUUUGUUUGCCCUUUUUUGGUCAAAGUGCUGCUAGUCCUGCUCCCUGCGCAGUUUGGGAUCGGUUAUGGCCUCUCUCAGAGCCAUUCCUGCGUUUGUGCUGUUUGCCUGCGCACCUCGUGCACAGGUCACUACACUUACCCUGAUACAUUUUUUUUUUCUUUCCUGUUAAAUAUUUCUGAAGCUCAUCAAGAAUACUUAGCAUUACCAGCGUGUACGGUCGGUUUCACAUUUGGUCUUUCCCAGGUUGAUGCCGUCUAUUCAUCAGUUACUGGGGGUAUUAAUGUACACCUGAUGCUGUCAGCGCUCAGCAGAAACUCUUUAAUGCACCUUUACAUAGUGAAGGCUAACUUUGCCUCCUUAAAGAACUAUAUCCAGUGCUGCACCAAUCCCACAGUAUUUUUAGUGAAGCUAGUUUGCUCGUGAACUGCCCAAGUGAAACAUUUUCAAAGAUCCGCUAACCCCAAGAUACAUGAUGUUUGCUUUUUCUUUGUUCACCAGACUCAGAGGAUCUGAAGGGAAUUCAUGGUUGUUUCCUGACCAAUUCCUGCUGCAGCAAAGGCAAUGUAAAACCAAGCUGGGACUCUGUCAGCUCCUGCAGAGGGACAAGUCCAAGCUGAGAGCUGUGAGCUUGUCUCUGCAAAGUCACUGCCCAUUAUUCAAUAAAUUUUCAGUGCAUCAUCAGUCUAA